GACAGAGGAUGCAAGCGUUAUCCGGAAUGAUUGGGCGUAAAGCGUCUGUAGGUGGCUUUUUAAGUCCGCCGUCAAAUCCCAGGGCUCAACCCUGGACAGGCGGUGGAAACUACCAAGCUGGAGUACGGUAGGGGCAGAGGGAAUUUCCGGUGGAGCGGUGAAAUGCGUAGAGAUCGGAAAGAACACCCGUGGCGAAGGCGGCUCUCUGGAACGCAACUGACGCUGAGACGCGAAAGCGUGGGGAGCAAACAGG
rnacentral:rRNA from 1 species